UUUCGACCUGAACUCAGGCGUGAGU
rnacentral:rRNA from 1 species